CAAUAGCGUAUAUUUAAGUUGCUGCAGUUAAAAAGCUCGUAGUUGGAUUUCGGGUGGGAAUGGCCGGUCCGCCGUUUCGGUGUGCACUUGCUACGCCCACCUUGCUGCCGGGGACGUGCUCUUGAGUUCACGCUCGGGACACGGAGUCGGCGAGGUUACUUUGAGUAAAUUAGAGUGUUCAAAGCAGGCCUACGCUCUGAAUACAUUAGCAUGGAAUAACACGAUAGGACUCUGGCCUAUCUUGUUGGUCUGUAGGACCGGAGUAAUGAUUAAGAGGGACAGUCGGGGGCAUUCGUAUUCCGUUGUCAGAGGUGAAAUUCUUGGAUUUACGGAAGACGAACAUCUGCGAAAGCAUUUGCCAAGGAUGUUUUCAUUAA
rnacentral:rRNA from 1 species